CACACGCUCAGGCCUCCCUUGUCUGACACGAGGUGUACUAGCUUGUCCACUCAAGGCAGCGGGAAAGUAACUCUCCAAGGCUGUGGAAUAUUCUUAGGGAAACAAGAAUUCCUGGGCGAGAGCCCCUCCCUGCACUCUCUGGGGUCCUGAGUUAGCUGCAAAGAAGAAGAUGUGCUCUGGGAAUGAUGAAUGUCAGUUGGAAGAGAAAGGAAAUUAGGACACAGACCUGCACAGAGAGGAUCAUGUGAAGCUGCAGGGAGAAGACGCCAUCCAUAAGCCAAGGAGAAGGG